AAUCAACGCUGGCGGCGUGCCUAACACAUGCAAGUCGAACGAGAAAAUCCGGUGUUGUAGCAAUACAAUACUGGGUGAGUACAGUGGCGACCGGGUGAGUAACACGUGGAUAACCUACCUUGGAGCGGGGAAUAACCCUGGGAAACCGGGGCUAAUACCGCAUAACACUUGGCGACUGCGGUUGCCGGGUUGAAACCUGGAAACGGGGCUCCUAGAGGGGUCCGCGGCCGAUUAGCUAGUUGGCGGGGUAACGGCCCACCAAGGCUGCGAUCGGUAGCCGGCCUGAGAGGGCGGUCGGCCACACUGGAACUGACACACGGUCCAGACUCCUACGGGAGGCAGCAGUGGGGAAUUUUGCGCAAUGGGGGAAACCCUGACGCAGCAACGCCGCGUGGAUGAUGAAGCCCCUUGGGGUGUAAAAUCCUUUCGGCAGGGACGAAGUCCGCGCAAGCGGGUUGACGGUACCUGAAGAAGCCCCGGCUAACUCCGUGCCAGCAGCCGCCGU
rnacentral:rRNA from 1 species